rnacentral:rRNA from 1 species
GAUGAACGCUGGCGGCGUGCCUAAUACAUGCAAGUCGAGUGAACAGAUGAGAAGCUUGCUUCUCUGAUGUUAGCGGCAGACGGGUGAGUAGCACGUGGGUAACCUACCUAUAAGACUGGGAUAACUCCGGGAAACCGGGGCUAAUACCGGAUAAUAUUUUGAACCGCAUGGUUCGAUAGUGAAAGACGGUUUCGGCUGUCACUUAUAGAUGGACCCGCGCCGUAUUAGCUAGUUGGUAAGGUAACGGCUUACCAAGGCGACGAUACGUAGCCGACCUGAGAGGGUGAUCGGCCACACUGGAACUGAGACACGGUCCAGACUCCUACAGGAGGCAGCAGUAGGGAAUCUGCCGCAAUGGGCGAAAGCCUGACGGAGCAACGCCGCGUGAGUGAUGAAGGUCUACGGAUCGUAAAACUCUGUUGUUAGGGAAGAACAAAUUUGUUAGUAACUGAACAAGUCUUGACGGUACCUAACCAGAAAGCCACGGCUAACUACGUGCCAGCAGCCGCGGUAA